rnacentral:rRNA from 1 species
UGGGGAAUUUUGGACAAUGGGCGCAAGCCUGAUCCAGCCAUUCCGCGUGAGUGAAGAAGGCCUUCGGGUUGUAAAGCUCUUUCGCAAGGGAAGAAAACUUAACCUCUAACAUAGGUUGAGGCUGACGGUACCUUGAUAAGAAGCACCGGCUAACUACGUGCCAGCAGCCGCGGUAAUACGUAGGGUGCGAGCGUUAAUCGGAAUUACUGGGCGUAAAGCGUGCGCAGGCGGUUUGGUAAGACAGAUGUGAAAUCCCCGGGCUUAACCUGGGAACUGCAUUUGUGACUGCCAGACUAGAGUGUAGCAGAGGGGGGUAGAAUUCCACGUGUAGCAGUGAAAUGCGUAGAUAUGUGGAGGAAUACCGAUGGCGAAGGCAGCCCCCUGGGCUAACACUGACGCUCAUGCACGAAAGCGUGGGGAGCAAACAGGAUUAGAUACCCUAGUAGUCCCUGAGCGGGCUGGCAAGGCGCAU